CCUACGGGGGGCUGCAGUCGAGAAUCUUCGGCAAUGGGCGCAAGCCUGACCGAGCGACGCCGCGUGCGGGAUGAAGGCUUUCGGGUUGUAAACCGCUGUCAGAGGGGAUGAAAUGUAGUUGGGUUCUCCCUUCUACUUGACAUAUCCUCAGAGGAAGUACGGGCUAAGUUCGUGCCAGCAGCCGCGGUAAGACGAACCGUACGAACGUUAUUCGGAAUUACUGGGCUUAAAGGGUGCGUAGGCUGCGUAGUAAGUUGGGUGUGAAAUCCCUCGGCUCAACCGAGGAACUGCGCCCAAAACUACUAUGCUCGAGGGAGACAGAGGUGAGCGGAACUUAGGGUGGAGCGGUGAAAUGCGUUGAUAUCCUAAGGAACACCCGUGGCGAAAGCGGCUCACUGGGUCUCUUCUGACGCUGAGGCACGAAAGCUAGGGUAGCGAAC
rnacentral:rRNA from 1 species